GGCCCGACUAUGAAGUAGAGUGGAUUAGAAAGAUCAUCUGACCCUACUUAACUACUCUACUUCGAGUUUGUGCAA
rnacentral:pre_miRNA from 1 species